UACGAAGGGGGCAAGCGUUGUUCGGAAUUACUGGGCGUAAAGGGCGCGUAGGCGGCACUGUUAGUCAGGCGUGAAAUUCCUGGGCUCAACCUGGGGACUGCCCUUGAUACUGAGGAGCUCGAGUCCGGAAGAGGUGAGUGGAACUCCGAGUGUAGAGGUGAAAUUCGUAGAUAUUCGGAAGAACACCAGUGGCGAAGGCGGCUCACUGGCCCGGUACUGACGCUGAGGUGCGAAAGCGUGGGGAGCAAACAGG
rnacentral:rRNA from 1 species